ensembl:snoRNA
AGGACUAUACUUUCAGGGAUCAUUUCUAUAGAUUCUAACUUGGGAAAUGUGUUUCUAAAGUGUUUGGUCUCGCCAACCACGAUGAUGAGUCGGUGACUCUCUUCCCUGAGCGCGAAGCGAGCAGAGAGACUUGGAUUAAUCCUCAUGCUCUCUGCCUUUGAUGACCGUUCAGUGUCUCCUCUGGGGACAAUGAGGGGAAGAGUGUGAUCAGAGUGGUU